UACGUAGGGGGCUAGCGUUGUCCGGAUUCAUUGGGCGUAAAGCGCGUGUAGGCGGUCCGGUAAGUCCGCUGUGAAAGUCGGGGGCUCAACCCUCGGAUGCCGGUGGAGUACUGUCGGGCUUGAGUACGGAAGAGGCGAGUGGAAUUCCUGGUGUAGCGGUGAAAUGCGCAGAUAGUCAAGGAGGAACACCAAUUGCGAAGGCAGCUCGCUGGGACGUUACUGACGCUGAGACGCGAAAGCGUGGGGAGCAAACAGG
rnacentral:rRNA from 1 species